ACGAACGCUGGCGGCGUGCUUCACACAUGCAAGUCGAACGGGUCUGCCCUGUUUUUUGCGGGGUGGGUCAGUGGCGAACGGGUGAGUAACACGUGAGUAACCUGCCCCUCACUUCUGGAUAACCGCUUGAAAGGGUGGCUAAUACGGGGUGUUCUGGCUGUGCCGCAUGGUGUGGCUGGGAAAGAUUCACUUUUGUGGUGUUUUGGUGGGGGAUGGGCUCGCGGCCUAUCAGCUUGUUGGUGGGGUGAUGGCCUGCCAAGGCUUUGACGGGUAGCCGGCCUGAGAGGGUGGGCGGUCACACUGGGACUGAGAUACGGCCCAGACUCCUGCGGGAGGCAGCAGUGGGGGGUAUUGCACAAUGGGCGGAAGCCUGAUGCAGCGACGUCGCGUGAGGGAUGGAGGCCUUCGGGUUGUGAACCUCUUUCGCCGGUGAAGAAGGUCCUGCUCUUUGUGGUGGGGUUGACGGUAGCCGGGUUAUGAAGCGCCGGCUAACUACGUG
rnacentral:rRNA from 1 species